rnacentral:lncRNA from 1 species
GAAACAGGACCUGAUGGAGGAGACAAAGGACACCCAUACACCGCAUCUGGGGAGAUGGUUCCAGAGAGCCCUGAGAGGCAAAGCUUCUACUUACCCACAGGGUGCUACAUCAGGUGUCCUUCAUUCUGAAUGCACAGGAGAGUCACCUGGGGAGGAUUUUAAGACACCAGGGCCCUACUCUGACCAACAAAAUCAGAUUUAGGAAGAGGCCGGAGUAUCAGGAAUUUUAAAAAGCUCCUGAGGGGAGCCCAGUGAGUAGCCAGGGUUGAGAACCACUUUGCUAGAGGAAGCUGAUCUGAGAAACAAGCGGAGGUGACGGUGGGGAAGAAGGAGCUUGAAUCUCUCCCUGGUCUACCAGCAGGUUCGGGGAACAGGGGCCUGGACCUGCAGGCAGACAUUUUGCCACCACCUGAAGCAGGGGAUAAACCCAACAUGGAAGACUGUGGAGCUGAGAUACGGAGAAGAGACAAAUCUUGAUGACAUGAUUUGAGACAUUCCUGAAGGUAGCACUGUGUUGGAGAUUCCAGUUUCAUAUCCCGCACUUUCUGUUUUUACUUAAACCAUGAUGGCGUGGGCUUUCUGCUUUUGUAAGUCAUGAGCAGAGGCUUACCCGCGUGGCUAUUACUUCCUACCUUCCUCUUCUCCACCAAAACUGUGGGCCUUACGUAAAGGACUUUGUUUGUGCUUUGGUUGGCAGAGACUCAUGCUCAUAUUUAUGCUCCCUUUCUUCCAUGUAGUAACAGUUAUAGCUGAGCUGCCUAGAGAAAUAGACUACAAGCCUCAACUUCCAUUGCAACUGGAGCCAUGAGACUAAGUUUUGGCCAACAGGAUGCAAACAGAAGGAUGAUGUGGUAGCGUCCAGAAUCCUUAACAGACAGCAAGAACUGGCCUUUUUCUCCAUCCUUCCUCCAUUCUGCUAUCUGAAACGUGAAUGUCACCAUUUUUGACUUGAGGAUGAGGCCAUACCUGAGGAACGGGAUGGAUGGGGAGCUGGAGCUGUUGGGAUUGCAGGGAGCAGAGCCCACAUUGACUCCGGCCUGACACUUCUGCACUUCACUUAUGUGAACGAGAAAUUUGGACCGUCGCUGUGUGUCUGGGUAUAAUGUCAUCGUUCAACAUCUCUACCCUAUCCAGCUUUCCAUCAUCUGUUAAUGAGAUCAGGGUGCCAUCUGUGCCUCCAGCCAAGUCAUUAAUAAAAAUAGCAUCAGGAGAGGACCAAGGACAGCAAUCUCCAGCGUGCUCCAGAGGGCUCUCUCAUUAGGGUGCUGGUGAUCUAGCCACCUCGCCUUUGAACACAGAUAUGGGAUGGUGCGGAGGGAAGCUGGGGAGCGUCAGCCAUUGGUCGGCGGGUCUCAAACUGUAGUGUGCAUCAGAGUCACCCAGAGGGCUUGUUAAAACACAGGUAGCUGGGCCUCAUCCCCAGAGUUUCUGUUUUAUGUUUUUUUAAAAAUUAUUUUAUUGAGGUCAUUUUGGCUUAUAACGUUGUGUACAUUAUUAUAUUUCAGCUUCUGUACAGAUUGCAUCGUGCCCACCACC